rnacentral:rRNA from 1 species
CCUACGGGGGGCAGCAGUAGGGAAUUUUCGUCAAUGGGCGCAAGCCUGAACGAGCAAUGCCGCGUGAACGAGGAAGGUCUUCGGAUCGUAAAGUUCUGUUGAAGGGGAAAAAGAGCGGAGAGAGGAAAUGGUCUCCGAUUGAUAUUACCCUUCGAGGAAGUCACGGCUAACUACGUGCCAGCAGCCGCGGUAAUACGUAGGUGGCGAGCGUUAUCCGGAAUGAUUGGGUUUAAAGGGUGCGUAGGCGGGAUGCCAAGUCAGCGGUAAAAAUGCGGUGCUCAACGCCGUCGAGCCGUUGAAACUGGCGUUCUUGAGUGGGCGAGAAGUAUGCGGAAUGCGUGGUGUAGCGGUGAAAUGCAUAGAUAUCACGCAGAACUCCGAUUGCGAAGGCAGCAUACCGGCGCCCUACUGACGCUGAGGCACGAAAGCGUGGGUAUCGAACAGGAUUAGAUACCCGGGUAGUC